rnacentral:rRNA from 1 species
CAGUAGCCACGGUAAUACGUAGGGGGGCAAGCGUUACCCGGAAUUACUGGGUGUAAAGGGAGCGUAGACAGUUAAACAAGUCUGAAGUGAAAUGCCGGGGCUCAACCCCGGAGCUGCUUUGGGAACUGUAGAACUGGAGUGUCGGAGGGGUAAGCGGAAUUCCCAGUGUAGCGGUGAAAUGCGUAGAUAUUGGGAGGAACACCGGCGGCGAAGGCGGCUUACUGGACGACAACUGACGUUGAGGCUCGAAGGCGUGGGUAGCAAACAGGAUUAGAUACCCCUGUAGUCCCUGUCUCUUAUA